rnacentral:rRNA from 1 species
GCAGUAGCCACGGGAAUACAGAGGGUGCGAGCGUUAAUCGGAUUUACUGGGCGUAAAGCGUGCGUAGGCGGCUUCUUAAGUCGGAUGUGAAAUCCCUGAGCUUAACUUAGGAAUUGCAUUCGAUACUGGGAAGCUAGAGUAUGGGAGAGGAUGGUAGAAUUCCAGGUGUAGCGGUGAAAUGCGUAGAGAUCUGGAGGAAUACCGAUGGCGAAGGCAGCCAUCUGGCCUAAUACUGACGCUGAGGUACGAAAGCAUGGGGAGCAAACAGGAUUAGAGACCCCCGUAGUCCCUGUCUCUUAUAC